UACGUAGGCAGCAAGCGUUGUUCGGAGUUACUGGGCGUAAAGGGCGUGUAGGCGGUUGUUUAAGUUUGGUGUGAAAUCUCCCGGCUCAACCGGGAGGGUGCGCCGAAUACUGAGGGACUAGAGGGUGGGAGAGGAAAGUGGAAUUCCUGGUGUAGCGGUGAAAUGCGUAGAUAUCAGGAGGAACACCGGUGGUGUAGACGGCUUUCUGGACCAUAACUGACGCUGAGACACGAAAGCGUGGGUAGCAAACAGG
rnacentral:rRNA from 1 species